GAUCCUGGCUCAGGAUGAACGCUGGCGGCGUGCCUAACACGUGCAAGUCGAACGGAAUUUACAUGAAGCCUAGCGAUUGUAAAUUUAGUAGCGGACGGGUGAGUAACGCGUGGGUAACCUGCCUUGUACUAGGGGACAACAGUUGGAAACGACUGCUAAUACCGCAUAAGCGCACAGCUUCGCAUGAAGCAGUGUGAAAAACUCCGGUGGUACAAGAUGGACCCGCGUCUGAUUAGCUGGUUGG
rnacentral:rRNA from 1 species